GUGGGGAAUCUUCCGCAAUGGACGAAAGUCUGACGGAGCAACGCCGCGUGAGUGAUGAAGGUCUUCGGAUUGUAAAGCUCUGUUAAUCGGGACGAAAGAGCCUAGUGUGAAUAAUGCUAGGAAGUGACGGUACCGGAAUAGAAAGCCACGGCUAACUACGUGCCAGCAGCCGCGGUAAUACGUAGGUGGCAAGCGUUGUCCGGAAUUAUUGGGCGUAAAGCGCGCGCAGGCGGAUCUGCCAGUCUGUCUUAAAAGUUCGGGGAAUAAACCCGUGAUGGGAUGGAAACUACAGGUCUAGAGUAUCGGAGAGGAAAGUGGAAUUCCUAGUGUAGCGGUGAAAUGCGUAGAGAUUAGGAAGAACACCGGUGGCGAAGGCGACUUUCUGGACGACAACUGACGCUGAGGCGCGAAAGCGUGGGGAUCAAACAGGAUUAGAAACCCCAGUAGUCC
rnacentral:rRNA from 1 species